GCGCCGCGGAGAGGAGGCCGAGCGGCCUCGGAGGGGCGAGAGCGGCUCGCCCGGCGGGGCCCUCUCCCUUGCCCGGCCCCUGUGCUGGACGGCCGUCGGCCGCCUGCGGAAGGCCCCGGCGCGGCCGCGGGGCUGGCGCGGCGGCCGCAGAGGAGAGUCGGGACCAAGGCCCUGCCGCGGCCUAAGCGCAGCCCAGGCGUCCAGUUUCCUGCUGGCGGCCGGGCCCCGCGCUGCCGCCCGCGACGGGGGGCUGAGGCAGCCGGGCCCGAGGGAGCGAGGCGCGGCGCGGGCCCUUCUCCUCCCCGGUCGGGCCUGCGGGGUCCCGCAGGGAGGAGGGAAGCGGCUCCGGGCGGCUCCGAGCCCCUCUGCCGGGCUAUUGUGCGCCAGGCUGAGGCGGCGGCCCGGCCCGGCUGCUGCGGAAGGCCGGCCGCGCGCGGGCCUGCGCUGCCUCGGCCGCGGGGCUGCCCCUUUGUGGGCUCGGCCUCGGCCUCGCCGCGCGGCGCGCUUUGUGCUCGCGCGAGCGGAGCGGGGCCCUGCGCCGGCUGCCGCCGCGGCGCGGAGAAGGUCAGCUGGGCCGCGGCGGCGGGGGGAGGCGGGGGCGGCCUGCCGCUCUGGGCCCCCAGCGGCGCCCCUCUCUGCGUGCGUCGCCGCGGGAAACAGGUUGCUGGAAGUAAAUGAGCCGCUGGGUGCCCCUCUGACGUUUCCUGGGAAGGCCGCUGUCUCCCUCUUCUCUAAUCCGGCUAGCACGGUGCAUUCCAGAGGGGAGGAAGAAUGGAAGUGACUCUUCUCAACCCUGAGUUAUUCAAGCUGGUCUUCAAGAGACUUGAGGUAUUGGCAUACAGGUAGACUAAUACAGAGGCUUUUAGGAUAAAAGUCAUCUGUUGCAGAAUAAAUCAACUAGUUCUACUUUUAUCAUUUGUUCUACACUGUAACAUUGAUGUAGAAUUUGAGUGCAAGAAACUGUAAUUGUGUUAACUUCCAUGGAAACUACUGUUCUUAAAUAGCUUUAGCACUUUUCACAGCAGUGAAAAAUUGUACAGGAAAGCACGAGGAUAAGAGUCAUCCAUCAGUGGUAUAGCUUUAGGAAUCUGUUGUGACCCAAGAAUUCUGAAACUGAUGAGAUGAUGAGCAUUUUUGUCCUGAAAGUGCACGUCAUCACAAAGUAUCUUGUCCUUUAUUAUUUCUGUUGGUAAGGUUUAAAUGCUAUAGUCUGAUUAGACUGUAUUGGAGGAGUUAGCUCAGAAAUUCAGUGGCUCCAGCUAAGUAGGUGUGAACUAAGGAAAGUACAUAUUUUAAAUAACACAAGUACUUUCCAUACUUAGAUUUGAGUAUAGUUGCUGCUGUCUGCUUAGUGUGAAUUGAGAAAGAGGUACUGCUCAUAUGUCAAAGAUACAUGCCUCUAAUGUGCCAGAGGGGGUAGCACGAGCAUGUUCAUGUACGAAGCAACUCUUUUUGGUCUGAAAACUCAAAGAAAUCAAGUAGGAUAAUUUGAUGAACUCUGGUCUUCACAUAAAACAUUCUGGAAGACUAUAUGUGCAGCUCCUGUGAGAAACAUGAUGUUCUUAAUUUUAAGUUAGAAUAGCUUUGCUUUAUUUUUCUGCUUGUAAUAAUGUUUGUAGUCUUGUAACUGUCAGCUUUAAAAGUUGGACUGUGCUUUGCGAACUAGAUUAUCAGUGGGUGUUUUGCUUUAAUGGUUGUCUCGUUUUCAGGAGCUAAGCUGAACCAGAACAGUCAAGGUAAAUCAAUAGCAUCUGAAAUUAUGGACACAUAUAAGGAACUCAGUUCUGCAGUUAUGUAUCCAGUCUGCAGAAAGCCAAAGUGAAAAUUGUGUUUCCAGCUUCUGACUGCAGCUACCUGAAUCCCUGGUUGGUGUUGUUAAGUGCUACCUGCAGAGAACAGUAGCAGUGAAGUAAGGAUACUGGCAAGCUCUAGUUCAUCUCAACCAUCACUUAUGGCCUAAAGCUUAGGAUCUCUUCUCUGAAGUUUACAGUCUUAAACAUCGUGAACAUUGCAGAUGCAGGAGAUAAUUUUUACUGGAUUUUUUCUCUUUUUGUUGCUUUGUUUUUUGAAGGACAGCAUUAAGGAAAGUGAAAACCAGUUGUGACUAAAAGAGAAUAGUAAAAGAUAUCCCUUUUGACUCUAACAGAAAAACACGACAGGUAGAGGCAUAUUGUUACCUUAAUAAAACAUUUUGUUUCAUUAAUAAGAAAACUUGUUGUAGGCAAUUUACUCUUUUUCAAAGUGUAUGUACUGUUCAUGUCUUAAAUGUACAAUAUCAUGAUAAAAAUGCAAUAUUAGUGUAUGUUUUCUGUGUACAACAUCACAUCAUGGACUAGAAGUCGAGAGAUACAUGUAAAUACUGUGUUGUUACCAUGAGGUGUUACUACAGGGUUACCUGAGUUUUUCCUGUUAAUACUUAAUUGCAUGUAACAAAAAUCUUCCCAAGUCAUUGACUUGGCGUUGUUUUAUACCAUGCUACAGUGUGUUUAGCUGUUAACCAUACUAGGUAAAGAAAGGAGAUUAAUGCCCCAUUAAUACUCUUUGGUUUUAUGCCACACUUCAUAUAUGUACUUAUUUUCUAGUUCUAAUCCAGACUACGUACUAUGUUUCUGUAAUGCCCAGGACAACUAUUUUAAAAUACCUGCCUGUCUGAGUUCAUCUAUAAAAUGGUGAUUCUUUGUGUUAUCACAGGAAUAAUGAGAUAUUUGGUUACUAAUUCCACAGUACUUUAAUCAGAUAAAGUGCUAGAUAAUUUCAGUUAACCAAAUGGUGCGCUUCUGAUUUUGACUCAUUUCUCUUUCUAGAACUGAAUACGGAAGCUGAGUUUGGCUGUGUUUUCAGUGGGGAAGUAAAAUAUUACUUGAAUGGUGAAGACAGUAUUUGUCCUUUUUCAUCUGGAAAUGCAUUUAAAAAAUUACUGUGGAUAUAUUCCUACAGGGAAUUGAUUUUAAAAGAGCAGUAAAUUCACAUACAGACAGUGGUUGUUGACCAUUUCCUUUUUUGUUUGCCUUAUCUAGAAACAGAUUUGUAUCUUUUCUUGUAACAAUUGAUGACCUUGCUGAGACAUGAAGAAAAACAAGGAGAGCGUAGUGAUAACUUCUGCUGCUUAAAGAGUUAGUCAUCAGCUCCUUUCAAGUGAAACAGCAGUUCUUUGAACUUUGGUUUGUGUGGCAUGAAGUCUUUAAAUUAAUAUUUUAAAGUUCUUUCCUACAGUUCUUGCAUAUAGUACUAAAUGGAGCAAAAAAUUCAUUUAGUCUUUCAUGAAAGACCACAGUGGCUUUUCAGUGUGUGGUUUUUUUUGAAUGCUGUCAAGGAGGAGCAUUUAGAAUGCCAUACUUCUUAAAGGGUUAUAUUCAAAUACAUGUUCAGAUUAAAUAUGUCAAAGGAAAACUACAUAUGAGGGAAAACUGUACAUUAAAUUUUGCUAAUGUACAGAUUGUCAAAAGGUUUUAACUGGAGUAGGAGUAUUUUAAAACAGUUCCAUGUUAAAUUACAGGAGGGAAAGCUUGGAAAUAAAUUCCUUUGCAUAAAAAUUGCUACAGCUGGUGCUAGAGCUUAGAAAUGUAGCUGUAUUAAAAAGCUUAUCUUUGUUGUUUCUGUUUACUCUGUAUUACAGAUGUUUCUUGAGGGAAGGUUCUAUGUCUUCUGUAUUUUGCAAGGGGAUGACAACUGAAAUAUUAGGUUUCUAAGUUCUGUCUUGUAAGUACGUGUUGCUUUAUGCUGAAAUGUGAUGUAGGUACUAGUUUGAAGUGGAUUUUAAAAGUUAGUUUUUCCUAUGAUUUUUCUAAAAUCAGCGUUAUUUCUAAAAUAUAUUGUUAGUUGCUGUUAACACAUCAGUGUUAGGAAAGAAGAAAUAACAGAUGUAGCACUGAACAAGCUGUAGCACAUCCAGGCUACAGUUCUGUAGUAGCUAAAGACAGUUUCUGUUCGGGAUGCCAGUGAUAACUUGCAGUGUUGCUGUCACCAACAUGAACGUGAAAUGGACUAGUUUUAGUCCCAAGUUUUCUGUGAGGAAUGGGUAAUUAUUAUCUGGUUCACUUCCCAGAGUAGUUUGCUGCAUGGUAACAUAAAAGCCAGUGCUGCUACAAGAGAUGUCAUCCUCUGUUGUCGUGGGUGUACUGGGGAUCAGUGUUAAGUGCUUACAGCUAAGAAAGGAUGGUCUCGCCCUCUAUUGCCAGCUCGGUUUUGGUGUUUUCCUUGUGUGCCAGUGUAAGCAGUCAUGUAGUUGUGCAAGACUGAUCUUGCUGAAUAUGUUACCUUAAAGAGAAAGAAAACUAAUGGGUGAAAGGCAGGCAGCACAACCAUUCCUUUUGGUGGCAGCUUGCUUUUGUUUGUUGUAGAGAUGGUGGAAUUGGACUCUGACACACUGUUGGUGUGUGCCCAGAGUCGUGGAGCCUGUAUCUGGUGGAUUGUUCUUUGUGCUAUAGAUGAACUAUUUUUUUUCUUUUAAGAAAUAUUGUAACUGAACAGUUCUUAAAAGUGCUAUUAAAAUAUUUAAGAACCUUUAAAAUAUGUAAUGUUGCUACUUGCUCUUUGAAAGAUAAUGACUAUAACUCAGUGUAUCAGAUUAGAACCAAGACCUUAAUACUGUCCUCAUAUCUGUGAAAAUGGACUCUGUGGGGUUUUUGGGGUGGUUUGGGUUUUUUGUUUGGUUGCUUUUUGUUUUGGUUUGGUUUUAAACCUUGCUAGUACCUGUCAUUUUUUUUGACCAGACAUAGGACUCAGAUUUUGCUACAGUUUUAUGAUCGGAUAUUUUAAUCUUCUUAAAUUGCCUAAUGUUGUUUUGGAAAUCAUGUUUGAAACAUGCUUUGAUAUGCAUUUGUGUGUUGACACAUAUAUCCCACUUUAAGGUGUACAUGAUAAACUUCUCACGUUUAACUAAAGCUACUUUUUAAAUUCAUGUAAACUUGUUCACUUUUGCCUAGAUAUGAGCCUUAAGUCUUGUUCCUUUCCUUCUUCUAAUGUACACGUGCAGUUGUCAUCUUGUAAAAGCUGUGAAAAUGCGCUGCUCAACUAAUCUUUUGAUUUCUGAAUGACUGAUUAUUUUGAAAUAUAUAUAUAUAUGCACAUAUAUAUGUGUUAUAUAUAAAAUCAUUAGAGUCACAAAGUGACUUUCAUUCACAGGAAUUUUUUGCCCUUUUUUGUGCAUGAAGGUGUCAACACAGUUGAGAGAUAAUUUGUGUAGGGUUUGUCUGUACAUGGCCAAUAUCUGUGUGAUUAUGCAAGUAUGUUAAGGAUGUAAUUUGAAGACUGGUUGCACAGGUGUGACUAGGGAAUAAUUUGGCUGGCAGAUGUUGAUGGUGUGCUAUAAAAUUUAGUCUGGCUUUGUGCUAGGUCAAAUAUAAUUGUUAGAAAGGAAGUUUUACAAAUAAAAACUACGCGUUCCAUAGUAGAAAUUGAAACAGGCAUUCUUCUAAAACAGCACCUGUAAAGCAGUAAUUUUAAGAGAACUUUUAUGCAUAUUAAAACCAGCUGCUGCCCUAAACAGCUUUAUUUUAAAAUCAGAUGUUACAUUUAAGGAAAAGUUGUUGUUCUUUGUACAAUCAUAAUUCUUCUAUGGAUGUACAGGUGCUCAUCUACUAAAGGAGUUGAGUGUGGGGAAGAAGAUUAUUUCAUGAAGGCUGUUUCUUAAUAUGCACAUGAGGAAGAAGACUUAGGGUUGCCUGUGAAACUUUAUUAUUUUCUAACUUUUGAAUGCUUGAUCUUCUAAUGUAAUAUAUUUUUGUAACACUCCUGUAAAAGAAAAAGACUGAAAAGUACUGAAGUUUACAGUUACGCUCUAGAUAGCGAGUCAUUGUUAGGAUUUGAUGUUUGAGAUUCAGCACUGCAACACAGACUCAAGUUUUGAUUUUACUAUGUAACAGGAAGGAGGACAAUAUUUUGCAGAGAAGAACAUAGUGAUAGGUAUUGAAUUUGGAAAGUGCUGAUAAAGAAAGCAUGGAAUAGCAGAAAGAUACAUCUACUCUUGUAAUUUCCAAACCAUCUAGAAUAUCUUGUGUUUUAUUUUCUGAUGCAGACUCAGGGCUGACUUCAGAAUGAUUAUGGUUGAAUUUUAAUUUUGUAUGCCAUGAAGCAUUAUCCAAGCAAUACAAAUAAGUGAAAUAGUGAGUGCAUUUUACUUAGCAUUUAAGAUAUACCUGAUCAGAAUUUAAUGGCAAUAAAAGAACAUAUAACUCUCUUGCCCGAGAGCUCUUUUUUUCUGCUGAAUUUCUUGCUUCAAAAGCUGACUAGUUGGAUCUUCACAAAGAAAGCUGAGGGAAUUUUUUUGGUAACACAAGGAUCCCUCUAAAGAAACGUUUAUUUGCUUUCUAUAAAAUGUCAGUACAGAGUUGAUGGCUCAGAAGGUGGCCUUCUGAUUAGAUACAAUAGAAUUAGUGAGGAGGGUGUUGCCAAUGUCUCCCUAAUUUGUUUCUUUGCUAUACAAAAUAUUGGAAUGAAUAGAGGGCAGUUAUCCAUAUGUGAGCAGGAGUUGGAAAGUAAACAGUUAUCGAAGUUUGACUAUUGCUGACUGUAAAAACUGAGAUGUUAAGUAAUUUAACAGUGUUCUUUAGUGUAUAAUGCUAUUUAGUUAUUACUAACCUGAAGUAAAUUUGAAUAGGGUCUGCAGAGUUAGUUUAGUAUCCUUAUCAAGUUAACUCAGUCCCUUUUGCAUUAAUGUCUGAUACUUGCAGCUACUUAUGGUAUUUUAAAACCUGUAAAAGACGGGGAAGUACUUGCCUGUGGUGACUCAGAAACUUGUGACAGAGCAGGAACUAAACCCAAGUCUCCCAUG